UACGCAGGGUGCAAGCGUUAAUCGGAAUUACUGGGCGUAAAGCGUGCGCAGGCGGUUUUGUAAGUCUGUCGUGAAAUCCCCGGGCUCAACCUGGGAAUUGCGAUGGAGACUGCAAGGCUAGAAUCUGGCAGAGGGGGGUAGAAUUCCACGUGUAGCAGUGAAAUACGUAGAUAUCUGGAGGAACACCGGUGGCGAAGGCGGCUACCUGGCCCAACAUUGACACUGAGACCCGAAAGGCGUGGGGAUCAAACAGG
rnacentral:rRNA from 1 species